rnacentral:lncRNA from 1 species
UGCUUGCAGGGAGAUGUCUGGGGUCACGUCUCCAUGUCUGCUAUAGGUGCAGCUUGUUCUCCAUCCCGGCCAUGGUGAGGUGCGGAGAUCACUACUCCGUUAUAUCUUGCUGCCCGAAAAGCAUUGUGAUCACAACCUGUUUCUUCCCUCCCAUGUUCUUUUCUCAUCAGAGUAUUGAGGAGUUGCUCCGGAAGAUCUGCAAUCGUCCUCUUCUCGUAUCAUUAUCUAAGAAAGUGAGGACGCCGCUGACCUAAAAUAUAAGCUUUUUUCCUCUCCUUCUCCCUUUUCUAGGUUGAAACGUUGGGGGGUUGCUGCAAAGAAAUGAAGGUUAUCCUCUUUCCGUGCUACGCACGCAAUAAAUGAAGUGGAGGAGGGCAACAUGAUCAGGAGAUAGAAGAGUGGGGCCUGGUAGGAGAGGGUAGGGUUUGGAGGACGGAGAUGAGGAGAGGGUGAGAGAGGGAGUGAGCUGGAGCACUCUGGAAUUUCAGAAAGCAAUUUCUAAGAGCUCAAA